UACGUAGGGGGCAAGCGUUAUCCGGAUUUACUGGGUGUAAAGGGAGCGUAGACGGCAGUGCAAGUCUGGAGUGAAAGGCGGGGGCUCAACCCCCGGACUGCUCUGGAAACUGUACGGCUGGAGUGCAGGAGAGGUAAGUGGAAUUCCUAGUGUAGCGGUGAAAUGCGUAGAUAUUAGGAGGAACACCAGUGGCGAAGGCGGCCUACUGGACUGUAACUGACGUUGAGGCUCGAAAGCGUGGGGAGCAAACAGG
rnacentral:rRNA from 1 species